UCAUUCACCGAGGAAGCCAAGAACCUGUUUGGGCUACGUCAUCGGUUCCUAGUAUCCAAUCAUAACAAGGCGAGUCUGACACUCCGUAGGAAAAGAACCAAUCAGAACUUGCUACAACGAGGGGAAAGCUGUCGCCCGGGACCUUCAAUCAAGCCAGGGACUUCGCUGACUACAAUUUUCUACCUCAGUUCCAGCAAAGGAGGAUAAGACUGAUGUGCAGGAGGUGUAGUUGGACUUGGGGUGUGACUUUUUGUAGGGGAUCUACUUGGUCCACUUUCACUCCUCAAUUUAGGAUUUUUAUGAGUCUUCUGUUC